CGUAAAGGAAAUCAAAAAAUCACUUCCUCAUUUCACCAAUUAGAUCAAACAUUUUACAAAUAAGCUCUGUUAUUAGUUUUCGGUUGGACCAAGAUUUCCAAGAAAGUGAACAAUUUUUUAUAGACAAGAAAAAAACAAACAAAUUAUAGUAAAACCAAUCAAUUUCUCACUACGCUCAGGUUCUAAAAAACCAUUGUAUCGCUUUGCGAAAAAUAACCUUAAGCAGUUGGUAUAUUGCUGUUUAUCGCGCUUACAAAGAAAUGGUGUAUACACAUU